GGUUUGGUGGUCUAGUGGUAUGACAUCUGCUUCACAUCACCGGUGCGCAGAAGAUCCAGAGUUCAAUUCUCUGUCUAACCA